UACGUAGGGGGCUAGCGUUGUCCGGAAUCAUUGGGCGUAAAGAGCGUGUAGGCUGCUCGGUAAGUCCGCUGUAAAAGUCAAAGGCUCAACCUUUGAAUGUCAGUGGAUACUGCCGGGCUAGAGUCCGGAAGAGGCGAGUGGAACUCCUGGUGUAGCGGUGAAAUGCGCAGAUAUCAGGAGAACACCCGUGGCGAAGGCGG
rnacentral:rRNA from 1 species